rnacentral:rRNA from 1 species
UGGGGAAUUUUGGACAAUGGGCGCAAGCCUGAUCCAGCAAUGCCGCGUGUGUGAUGAAGGCCUUCGGGUUGUAAAGCACUUUUGGUAGGAACGCGGUACCUGCAGAAUAAGCACCGGCUAACUACGUGCCAGCAGCCGCGGUAAUACGUAGGGUGCAAGCGUUAAUCGGAAUUACUGGGCGUAAAGCGUGCGCAGGCGGUUUUGUAAGACCGAUGUGAAAUCCCCGGGCUUAACCUGGGAACUGCAUUGGUGACUGCAAGGCUUGAGUGUGUCAGAGGGAGGUGGAAUUCCGCGUGUAGCAGUGAAAUGCGUAGAUAUGCGGAGGAACACCGAUGGCGAAGGCAGCCUCCUGGGACAACACUGACGCUCAUGCACGAAAGCGUGGGGAGCAAACAGGAUUAGAUACCCGGGUAGU